rnacentral:misc_RNA from 1 species
GAUGAAGAACGUAGCGAAAUGCGAUACGUAAUGUGAAUUGCAGAAUUCAGUGAAUCAUCGAAUCUUUGAACGCAUAUUGCGCUCUCUGGUAUUCCGGAGAGCAUGCUUGUUUGAGUAUCAGUAAACACCUCAACUUCCAUAUCUUUUUUGAAAUGGGAGUUGGACUUGAGUGAUCCCAACGCUUUUCCUCACCGAAAAGUGGCGGGUUACUUGAAAUGCAGGUGCAGCUGGACUUUUCUCUGAGCUAUAAGCAUAUCUAUUUAGUCUGCCUAAAAAACAGAUUAUUACCUUUGCUGCAGCUAACAUAAAGGAGAUUAGUUCUUGUGCUGACUGAUGCAGGUUUCACAAAGACAGGCUUCGGCCGACUUUGUAAACUCGAUCUCAAAUCAAGUAAGACUACCCGCUGAACUUAAGCAUAUCAAUAAGCGGAGGA